rnacentral:rRNA from 1 species
UACGAAGGGGGCUAGCGUUGUUCGGAAUUACUGGGUGUAAAGGGUUCGUAGGCGGUGCGGCAAGUUGGGAGUGAAAUCUCUGGGCUUAACCCAGAGGCUGCUUCCAAAACUGCUGUGCUUGAGUGUGGGAGAGGCGCGUGGAAUUGCAGGUGUAGCGGUGAAAUGCGUAGAUAUUCGCAAGAACACCAGUGGCGAAGGCGGCUCACUGGCCCGAUACUGACGCUGAGGCACGAAAGCGUGGGGAGCAAACAGG